CCAAGGCCCUCAAGGAUUAAGUCUGACUGUAGCCGCUUAAUCAUGUUACAUCCCUUUAUUGUAACGCACUGGUGGACCAUCGCGAAGACCUGUUGGUUCAAGUUCUGCCCAUAUGUUUGACUCCCAUGACCACAAGGGUGUUGGUUCAGGUCUGCACGAGUGACCCUAUAAAUACAGCCCUCUCGCCAGGCGAGUGGGCUAUCAAUCAUUCCAUCCAUUCCACUAUCAUAUUCUCCUCAGCUAGCUCCAAAUAAAUUCGCUGCAAUCCAUCGCAACCAUCAACCAUGAAGUGCCCCAAGUACAACCACAAUAACCCGACCUACAAGGACAAUUGCGAAAGUUGCGGUGCCGAACUGCCCAAAGCUAUGAAAGGGGCCUAAAUCUAAGAGCCAGGCUCAAAGGAAAAGGCCUGGCUUGAGCCUCUGGUAUCGAACACGAGGAAAUUGUAUUCAUUGGGGCCUGUGUCACUUGUUUAUCCGUGUCCUUCUGUGUUCACAUGAUAUUUCUAGCAUAUCAACUUGCUUUUUGUCACCCGUUUAUACAUGUCUGGCUUUAUUCUGGUAUAUAAAACAUAUCACUGUUGCUUCAGCAUUUUCCAGCCACCUUAAAAACUUCGCUGUCCCAUUGAAAAAUCAUGAUACAAAUUCACUAUCGCCGAGACAUUCCUACCAUAAAGUAUGGGAUUUCUUGCUAGGGAUAGUUACAUGCAAGACAUGAUAACGUAGAAAAGUGUUUGAGAUACCGAUAAGAAAUCCCGUCGAUCUUUUAAGAGAGAUAGGUUAAACACCUCCCUAAAGGUUCUCACUCCUGCUUUCUUCGAUGAACUUCAUUGCUCUUUCACUUUCUGGAUCCCUGCAGAGAUAAUAAUAAUCCAGCCAAAAUUCACGCGCGACACUGUGAUCGGGCAUAUACUUUCGUAGCAAAGCCUUCCACUCCUUGUCCUCCAUACUAUCAGGGACUGAUGUACAAACAUACUCCCACCAUACUGGAAAGUAACCAGACAUCUCCCAAUCAAUUAUGCCAGUAACAGAGCCGUUCUCAACCAUGAUAUUGACAUUAGUGAGGUCGCCAUGCGUAAAGGUAUAAGGCGUAGCGGAUGGCAUGCAAUGUCGAAGUCGUAUUCGCGCAGCCUCGGGUAUGGUUUCUUUCAACCCACGCUCCAUAUCAGCCCAGAGUUCGUCAUCCGAUGCUAGAGGACCGUGAGGAAGCUCGGAGUCUUUGUCUUUGAACAGGAAAUUGGAAUAAACAGGACGGCCAUCAAGCGCUUGGAUAUUAUCGGACUGAAGCUUGCGAAGUUCUAGCAGAUACUCAGCUGUCUGCCUAGCUAUCAUUUCUUUUUCACCUGUGGAAAGCUUCGGCCAGACGUUGCUGAGGGGCUCGCCAGGAAUACGCUUCAUUAAGAUAAGGGUGUGUUCGCCUUCGUUCCAAGAUUCGACAACGGUGGGAACAGGAAUGGAUGUCUUUUCCUGCACAAACUGAAUAUUUGGUACUUCAAUGGUCGGAAGACUAGCACCUCGAUCUUUAAGAAUCAAAUUUGAGCCCAAUGACCAGACGCCU
rnacentral:sRNA from 1 species